UUCAUCAAGAGUAGUUGAGGGACAUGGCCCUAUGAAACUACGGCAACCAUCUUUAUGAAACGGUGCCAAAUCCAACGGGGAAACCGGGAGAUGA
rnacentral:ncRNA from 1 species